rnacentral:rRNA from 1 species
GAUGAACGCUGGCGGCGUGCCUAAUACAUGCAAGUCGAGCGAACAGAUGAGGAGCUUGCUCCUCUGACGUUAGCGGCGGAUGGGUGAGUAACACGUGGAUAACCUACCUAUAAGACUGGGAUAACUUCGGGAGACCGGAGCUAAUACCGGAUAAUAUAUUGAACCGCAUGGUUCAAUAGUGAAAGACGGUUUUGCUGUCACUUAUAGAUGGAUCCGCGCCGCAUUAGCUAGUUGGUAAGGUAACGGCUUACCAAGGCAACGAUGCGUAGCCGACCUGAGAGGGUGAUCGGCCACACUGGAACUGAGACACGGUCCAGACUCCUACGGGAGGCAGCAGUAGGGAAUCUUCCGCAAUGGGCGAAAGCCUGACGGAGCAACGCCGCGUGAGUGAUGAAGGUCUUCGGAUCGUAAAACUCUGUUAUUAGGGAAGAACAAAUGUGUAAGUAACUAUGCACGUCUUGACGGUACCUAAUCAGAAAGCCACGGCUAACUACGUG